rnacentral:rRNA from 1 species
GAAAGGCCAAUCAAACCGGGAGAUAGCUGGUUCUCCCCGAAAGCUAUUUAGGUAGCGCCUCGUGAAUUCAUCUCCGGGGGUAGAGCACUGUUUCGGCUAGGGGGCCAUCCCGGCUUACCAACCCGAUGCAAACUGCGAAUACCGGAGAAUGUUAUCACGGGAGACACACGGCGGGUGCUAACGUCCGUCGUGAAGAGGGAAACAACCCAGACCGCCAGCUAAGGUCCCAAAGUCAUGGUUAAGUGGGAAACGAUGUGGGAAGGCCCAGACAGCCAGGAUGUUGGCUUAGAAGCAGCCAUCAUUUAAAGAAAGCGUAAUAGCUCACUGGUCGAGUCGGCCUGCGCGGAAGAUGUAACGGGGCUAAACCAU